GAAACAUUCACUUUUGGAAUUCCAAGAGACAAUAGAAGUAAUCGAUAUGAAAUGGUCGGAGGGCGGAGAAACCGGCGGAGAGGCCGAGUUGCCGGAACUGCUCCUCCGUUCGCUGCUUACUUUUGGCCUUGUAAAUGGUCAUGAUGAAUACGUCGUUGGACAAAAGAGCACGUGUCCGGUGACUGUCAUCCGUCUUCUCCGGCAAUGUCGGCUCACAGGCGAUCAAUUUUCCUCCCGCCGGGAGAGACUUGCAGCAGUUCUCCAAUAUAAUUUUGCAUUCAUCGUCCGUCCACGUAGAAAGAACCCACUUCAUGAAAAUAACGUCACCGGUCGGGAUGGACUUGAACAUAUCACCUCCAACGUGACUCACCCCGGGGAUGCUAGGAGCCCUA
rnacentral:misc_RNA from 1 species